rnacentral:rRNA from 1 species
CUGGAACUAGAAACACGGUCCAGACUCCUACGGGAGGCAGCAGUGGGGAAUUUUGCGCAAUGGGGGAAACCCUGACGCAGCAACGCCGCGUGCAUGGAUGAAGUACUUCGGUACGUAAACUCCUUUCGAUCGGGACGAUUAUGACGGUACCGAGGAGAAGA